rnacentral:rRNA from 1 species
AUUGAACGCUGGCGGCAUGCUUUACACAUGCAAGUCGAACGGUAACAGGUUAAGCUGACGAGUGGCGAACGGGUGAGUAAUGCAUCGGAACGUGCCCGGUCGUGGGGGAUAACGCAGCGAAAGCUGCGCUAAUACCGCAUACGAUCUAAGGAUGAAAGCGGGGGACCGUAAGGCCUCGCGCGAUCGGAGCGGCCGAUGUCAGAUUAGGUAGUUGGUGGGGUAAAGGCUCACCAAGCCAACGAUCUGUAGCUGGUCUGAGAGGACGACCAGCCACGCUGGGACUGAGACACGGCCCAGACUCCUACGGGAGGCAGCAGUGGGGAAUUUUGGACAAUGGGCGAAAGCCUGAUCCAGCAAUGCCGCGUGCAGGAAGAAGGCCUUCGGGUCGUAAACUGCUUUUGUACGGAGCGAAAAGGUCUCCUCUAAUACAGGGGGCUCAUGACGGUACCGUAAGAAUAAGCACCGGCUAACUACGUGCCAGCCGCCGCCGUAA